GACGCUUUGGUGGAGUGGUUAACACGUAUCCCUGCUACCUAUUAGUGAAAAUAGCAACCAGCAAGCGCCGGUGGAAGGAUAUCCUCUUUGAGGGCGUGAGUUCGAAUCUCACAGGCGUCG
rnacentral:tRNA from 2 species